rnacentral:rRNA from 1 species
GAUGAACGCUAGCGGCAGGCUUAAUACAUGCAAGUCGAGGGGCAGCAUGAGUGUAGCAAUACAUUUGAUGGCGACCGGCAAACGGGUGCGGAACACGUACACAACCUUCCUAUAAGUGGGGAAUAGCCCAGAGAAAUUUGGAUUAAUACCCCGUAACAUAAUGAUGUGGCAUCACAUUAUUAUUAUAGCUACGGCGCUUAUUGAUGGGUGUGCGGCUGAUUAGAUAGUUGGCGGGGUAACGGCCCACCAAGUCUACGAUCAGUAGCUGAUGUGAGAGCAUGAUCAGCCACACGGGCACUGAGACACGGGCCCGACUCCUACGGGAGGCAGCAGUAAGGAAUAUUGGUCAAUGGACGCAAGUCUGAACCAGCCAUGCCGCGUGAAGGAUUAAGGUCCUCUGGAUUGUAAACUUCUUUUAUCUGGGACGAAAAAAGGCGAUUCUUCGUCACUUGACGGUACCAGAUGAAUAUGCACCGGCUAACUCCGUGCCAGCAGCCGCUGUAAUAC